AGCCCUGAGAGAGGGAGCGAAUGUUACACCCUGCUGAUAAUCUCCAGAAGUGAUCCAUUUCUGUAAUCAGAUCUCUUCUCCAGUCAGAGACCUAACACAUCAGUCUUCAUAUAUCAUCUUCAUGAGCUAAAUUGCCAGAGAAGUUUAUGAUCUAAGUUCAGAAAAAUUCUCUGUGAAAACAAAUCAUUUACUUUUACAGAUGCCUGGACUGGAGAAUGCAACAUGCGACGUUCAAGAGCCCUGCAACCUCUAGCCCAAAACAAUAUGACUAAGAUUUACACUACCAACAGGCCUCUUUCUUCUGGGGGAGAGGAGCCAAGAGGGAAUUUCCUACCUCUUCUUCUCAAGCAGGAUUAUCUUGUACUGGAAUUCCAGAACAGUGUGAAACAGAAGGAAGCAAAAGAAAUACAAAACUAACAUGGGAAAUAUUGGGAGAAAAAGUGGAAAGAAAGAAAUCCUGCCAUUUCUGCUAAUCUACUUGAGCUUUCAAAUACUUUUUCUUUUUGAGCUCUCAAAUAUGAAAGUUCAAAAUUCAAUGCACUCGCAAUAAAUUUGGAUACAUGGCUUGAUAAGGAGUAUGGCAGCACAGAACACUGACAUUUCACUUUUCUCUGUAAUUGAUACAGUGGAGAAUGGAAUUUGUGUAAACAAACACCUCUUAAGUACUGGGAUUUUUCUCCUCUUGAUCAUCUCCUUUUUACUAGUGAAAGAAAGGUAAGGCCAAUGUAAUGGGAAAUCAGAAUGAAAGUGGUUUAGGUAUAUUUAUACACAUAGAUUUAGUCUCAAGAUUCAAAAUAGGUAGCAAGGAUUGUAAAAGGUAGAUCAAUGUGGAUCCAGUCUUCCCAUAAAAAUCAUGGAGAGAUUCUACUUUAAAGGUCCCUUUAGCCAUUCAAGCUAAUCUUUCUAAGCUUCCCCUACAGGUUUUACAGGUUCAGAGCCCCAAAGCCUAUUGUUCUGCA